rnacentral:rRNA from 1 species
UACGGGGGGGGCAAGCGUUGUUCGGAAUUACUGGGCGUAAAGGGCUCGUAGGCGGCCAACUAAGUCACACGUGAAAUCCCCAGGCUUAACCUGGGAACUGCGUGUGAUACUGGAUGGCUUGAAUCCGGGAGAGGGAUGCGGAAUUCCAGGUGUAGCGGUGAAAUGCGUAGAUAUCUGGAGGAACACCGGUGGCGAAGGCGGCAUCCUGGACCGGUAUUGACGCUGAUGAGCGAAAGCCAGGGGAGCAAACGGG